rnacentral:rRNA from 1 species
GUGGGGAAUCUUCCGCAAUGGACGAAAGUCUGACGGAGCGACGCCGCGUGAGUGAAGAAGGCCUUCGGGUCGUAAAGCUCUGUCAUCAGGGACGAACGGCCGGUGGAGUGGAAAGCCACCGGAUUGACGGUACCUGAGAAGGAAGCCACGGCUAACUACGUGCCAGCAGCCGCGGUAAUACGUAGGUGGCAAGCGUUGUCCGGAAUUAUUGGGCGUAAAGUGCGCGCAGGGGGGAUCUUAAGUCCAUUUUGAAAGUUCGGAGCUCAACUCCGUGAUGGGAUGGAAACUGGGAUUCUUGAGUACCGGAGAGGAAAGCGGAAUUCCCCGUGUAGCGGUGAAAUGCGUAGAUAUGGGGAGGAACACCAGUGGCGAAGGCGGCUUUCUGGACGGUGUCUGACACUGAGGCGCGAAAGCUAGGGGAGCGAACGGGAUUAGAAACCCCAGUAUCC